rnacentral:tRNA from 2 species
GGGGAUCUCCCCUGCUUAAACGGUAGAGCACUCGGCUGAUAACCGAGAGGUCGCUGGAUCGAUACCAGCAACCGCCA